rnacentral:sRNA from 1 species
UUACACGUGACAAAUUGCAAGGUGAAUCAUCGGAUGCAGCGUCCAUGGAAUCCUCACACGGGUUACCGGGAGGAUACGCUGCUCCGGGAGCAUGGCAGUUGUGCCACGCUGGUCCGUUGCGGUUUUGGAAAUCUAGGUCCAAUUGGUAGUUAAGGCACAUCUUCUACAUCUUCUAGGGCGCUUUUUUUUUUUUCCCUGGAUGUAAAAGAGGCGUGUGUUUACAUUGCUAUGCAGCGGAUUCAUGAGUGUGCAGUGUGGCUGAUCGAGUUUUGUUCCAUUCAAAUUGGGGGGGAGCAGCAUUGGUAUGGAGGGUUCUCCCCACCGCGC